rnacentral:rRNA from 1 species
ACACUCCUACGGGAGGCAGCAGUGGGGAAUAUUGGACAAUGGGCGCAAGCCUGAUCCAGCCAUGCCGCGUGAGUGAUGAAGGCCCUAGGGUUGUAAAGCUCUUUCACCGGUGAAGAUAACGACGGUAACCGGAGAAGAAGCCCCGGCUAACUUCGUGCCAGCAGCCGCGGUAAUACGAAGGGGGCUAGCGUUGUUCGGAUUUACUGGGCGUAAAGCGCACGUAGGCGGACUAUUAAGUCAGGGGUGAAAUCCCGGGGCUCAACCCCGGAACUGCCUUUGAUACUGGUAGUCUUGAGUUCGAGAGAGGUGAGUGGAAUUCCGAGUGUAUAGGUGAAAUUCGUAGAUAUUCGGAGGAACACCAGUGGCGAAGGCGGCUCACUGGCUCGAUACUGACGCUGAGGUGCGAAAGCGUGGGGAGCAAACAGGAUUAGAUACCCUUGUAGUCCC